AUAGCUUAGUGGCACAAGCACCUUCCUGGCAAGCAGAAGGUCCUGAGUUCAAUCCUCAGU
rnacentral:tRNA from 1 species